AAAACCAUCUUUGUAAGACGCUCCAUGUGACAAAUGGCAACAUUUCAGGAGUCAUGCUGUGAGGUGGUGUUACUUGUAGCUGCACCAUGAGUCAAUGCUGACAUCUUUGGAGAUGAUUGAUUCACCCCGUCUGGCCAGAGAGGAGUGAAGAGGAGAGCAGAGCUGGAUCCUCCCCGGGGCUGCAGCUUCCUGCCACCCUGCCAUGGCUUCACCACAGUGUCACUUCACCAGUGAUGGAGCUUCCAACCCCUCCCCAGUCCCCCACCUCCCCGACAUCUCUUGUCUGCUGCAAGCUGCCGCAAUCAGUACGGGCCCCUGAUUGGACUUGGGCAGGACAGAUUGGGAAGCCGUGAUGGCGGCACAGAAGUUGAGGGAGAAGCUAUUUAUCCCAGACGGAUCAGGAGGUGUGUGACGGAGGUGUGGACGGUUGCUGCAGGUCAGUGACGUUGGCAGGCGCCAGGCAGGCCGGCCCACAUGGCUCGGGGACUGUGGGACUACAGACAGAUGGCACCUGGUGGGUGACAAACAAUUAACAAACCAACAAGAAUAGCUGGAUCGGCAGUAUACCCACAAGCACAGGAGAUAGCAAGAGAGCGGGUGCAUCUGUGCUCUGAACACUUUUACUCUUUACUUUUCCUCUUCCCAAGUCUUGUUUUGUAUAACAGUUGCAAUUUACCCAUGUGUCUUUUUCACAAAAACACUCUUGUUGUCGUGCCGCUAUAGAACAGUCUAAAUAAAGCAGUGUGGAGCAUAUGCAGCCAGCAUAUGUUUCUGUUUAUUUCAGAAGAAGCAGUGGGUAAUUUAAAUGUGCAAUACUGUGGAACAACACAUUUGAUAUCUACUUAAAUGUUAAGCAAAACUUAUAAACAGUUAUAUAAAGUUUGUCUUUGCAAUAGCAUUGCCUGCAUUGGUUACAGGUUAUGUGUAAAAUCCAUGCUGGAAAUAGAUUGUGUGGUGUAUGGUCGUCACUGGUAUUUGACUGUCUAUCUACAUCCAAUUGUAAUUAGACAGUCCACUUACUGUACACUGAAGAUGGCCUCUGUUGUCAUAAAUGAGAAAAUAUGUGAUUAUUUAAUCUUUUUUAAGAGUGACAAGAUUGGAAUUAUUAUCCAUACUGGGCUCUGUGUGCGAGUAAACGACUGUCAUCUGGUAAAAUUA